UGAUUUGCUGGCUUCUGUGCUUGAAGGAGUUUACAUCUCCCUGUGGUUCACUACUUCUGUGGGGUUUAGCUUUUGUAGCAUUUAAGCUUUGACCUCAGGACAAGUGCUGCAGCCAAAACCAACUCCAUACUCAGCUGAAGAGCUGCAGCUAGUGAGACUGCCACGACUUAUUUGUCAGCAUGUAGCUCUGACAGCUUUGUUAGUGUGGGAUAAGCUUCACCCCAGCUGGACAGGCCUGAGUGAUGGAGCAGACAGAAAGGCUUUGGAGGACAGAGUGAAGGCUGUAAUUAAAAAAGAAAACCAGAAAACCAGCACUGAAGCAAAUCUAUAAAGCUGAGUACUGUGGAGUCGGACAAAAUGACCUUCUGAAGUUAAAGAGAAGCUGAAAUAGCCAAUAAUUGAAAUGUCACAAAAGGAACUGGCUGCUGAGAAAAAGCAAAUAUUUGAAGAUGAGAAAUAUUUAACAAGUCACUGGAUUAAUUUCUCUGCCAAGUUCAUCAGAACCAAAUAUAUUUCUAUUUGAUGUCAGGGACAUCAGGUACAAUCUGACUAACCUUAUGGGCAUAAAACAACCCCAGAGGCAGUUUUAAUGCAGAACAUGCAGAAUGCAGAACAGUUUAAAGCAGAAAGAAAGAAUGCCAGUGAACAUAUAUUUUUCAGCGAGGUAGAUCCACCUUGGUAUUGAAGACAAAGAAUUGCAUUUUAUGAAAGAAAGUUAUAAUUGUAUGAAUAACUGCUUGUGCUUCUGUCUUUUACUGCUUGCUCUGAAGGAGCUGCUGUUGCAGCAGAAUCCAGCUCUUUUAUUAGAAGCUAAAUAUGAGAUACUCCUGUCACUUGACAUACGUAAGAUUUAUGUCCCUUGAGGGAACUGUUCUAAGUUUUGCUCUUCUACUUCACUGGUUUCUCACCAUCUUUACUCCAUGGAAAUAUCACAGUGAUUAGCCAACAGUCACAAAUUGUAAUUAAAUUGAGAUUUCAAGGUGA